UUUUUUUUAUUUUCUGUACAUGAUUUGUUGAAUAGAGGAACGGAGUUUGCAGAAACAUAUGUUCAUGUGCGCACUGUGCAUUGUCCAAAGAAAAUGUCAGCUGGCGGCAAACUGGCUUGAGAUUACUCGACGGUGUCGGAUUCCUUGCGAAAUGCAAAGUAUCCGUCAGUCCAUCAUCCCAGACUUUAAACACGCUUGGCACAUGAAAUUAACCCAAAAUAUCAGUAUACCAUCCCAGCUGUGUAUCACAUAUCAUACGGGGUGCGGCGGCGGCAGGUAGAGAAGCAUUGAGGUAUAGAUAGCUUGAUACAAACAAGUUCAUUCCACGUAUGACGCGCCGAUCGAGAGUAUCAUUCUUUCGUAGUGUGCUACAACCUUCGUCCUUCAUGUCGAUGGCCUAUAUAGCUAUACGACUAGCUAGUUGUCGUAGAUGCGGCACUCCUCGGAGUCCGGGUUGUCCUUGCAGUACUUCUCGAGCGGGUCGUUGGCGUUGGUCUCCUUGAGGCUGUCGCGGGCGUGGCUGGCCGUGGCGCUGAGCUCCUCCACCUCGUCCCACGCCGCCGCGCACUCGGCGUCGCCCUUCUGGUCGUCCGCGCACGUCUCCUCCGCCUGCUUGAUGCUCUCCGACACCUUGUCGGAGAUCUCCGGCGGCGUGGCCGGCCCGCUGGACCGCACGGCGACCAACCGCCCGCCGCCGCGGCGCGCCGCCGCGGGGAACCAGACGACGCGCUUGGCGCCCGCCCUCCUCGGGACGACGAUCAGCACGUCGCCGCCGCCCGCCGCCGCGAAGGUCGUCGUCGUCACC
rnacentral:lncRNA from 1 species